rnacentral:lncRNA from 1 species
GUUCGGCCCAUGCUUGCAAACUAGUCUACGCCCACGGUCCAACCCGCGCCUGCAGUCCGACUCAUGCCAUCGCUCCAGCGUUAGAGCUUAUCAACGACACUCUGGCCCGACCCAUGAAGACACCUACUACGAAAAAAAUGGGUAAAAAAAUGCUCUAUACAAGAAAUGAAAGAAGCAGCUAUCGCGGGAUUUCCGCAUCCGGAAGUCUCGCACGCACUCCUCCAGCAUCAAAUGGAGAAAUACCUU